GACCCACUUUCAAGAACAAGUUUUAGUGUGGUGAAAACUGACAGGUAGCUACUCCCGAGGCUUCGUGAUCAUAUUGGCACAGUGACAGAACCUGCCUGACUUCCUGCUUUCCCGAGGCCUGCAGGGCUCUGUGCUAAGCUGAAGACCCAGGGCACAGUGGAGGAGGCCCAUGUUCCUGCCAGCUCCCAGCUGAGAAGCCAUUUCCAAGGAACCUACAACGACUAACAGUAAGCCCCGUGGGUUUCCCAUCACCGAGUCACCCCACAG